AUGCUGCGCCGUUCACAGAGCGCAACAAUUGGUGUCGGAACCGGUCCAGAACCACUCAAACAUUCACCAACCACUGCCUCUAAAGCUUACUUAGAAUCCAUUGGACAGAGGCCAUCAGCAACAUUUGACAGUGGGAGAUCAAAAACAAAGAUAGAAAGGGGUUGGAAGCAGUUUGUCUGUGAGCAGAAAGGGGUUGGAAGCAGUUUGUCUGUGAGAUAGAAAGGGGUUGGAAGCAGUUUGUCCGUGAGAUAGAAAGGGGUUGGAAGCAGUUUGUCUGUGAGAUAGAAAGGGGUUGGAAGCAGUUUGUCCGUGAGAUAGAAAGGGAUUGGAAGCAGUUUGUCUGUGAGAUAGAAAGGGGUUGGAAGCAGUUCGUUGAGGACCUAUGUUCGGCAAGGAACUCAACGCACCAAGUGGAGUAAGUAAGCGUGACGUACCUGUGCACAGAGGGAGCAGCAGAAGCAGGACCAGGUAGGCUCUCAUUGUUGGUCUCAGUCGAAGACUUCUCUUAGCAGCGGAUAAGUCUGAGGUUCAAAGUGUUGGAGGGGCAGAGAGCCCCUCUGCUUUUAUACUGUGUCGUGUGCUCAGACAGGAACACACACACCCACACAAUGACAGGCACGGCAUACACUCAGUGUUGACAAGGGUGGAUUUCAGGGUUAAAGAAUGGUGUCUAAAAUGUCUUCCAUAUAAGGAAAUGGUGUCUUAUGUCAUACCAUGACUGUCGCAUUAUCAGUGGGAGUCUUGGAGCACUCCAAUAACACUUCACCUCUCUUGGCUGACAAAGCUCACUGUUGACAGGAAACACUUCGUUAAUAAUGUUCAUGAAUAAACAAUACACCAUUCAUAACACACGAAUAAAUGUUAUUCAUAAAUCACACAAGUAUUUAAAUGUAUUUAUACACAUUUAUGAGCAUGAUCAUUCUGAAGCAUUUAGAACCAGUCAUACAGAAUGUGAACACUUAAUGUUGAGUAAAUGAUUCCCUUUUUCUGUUUAGUUUCUGUUGCCGUUGAGAAACACAGCUAGAAAAUAUGACAAAUGAUGUGUGAGGGAACAGCCGGAUCAAGUGGUCCGACUGCGCUCUCUCCUGGAGGUGGGCCACAGUACAGCCACUACUGAUGAGCUCACCGGAGGCCAAUUGACUGGUUGUUUGUGCUCUCUUAAGGACCUGACUGAAGGGGCAGAGGGGGAGGGGAAGAGUUGAAAGAGGAACUCCCAAUACAGUUUCCUUCUUUUUGUUGAAGUCACGUCUCUGCGUCUCAUUUCGUGCUGUCCCGCCUAGGAUUUCGUCAGUGAAUAGGUACGGCCUUUCACAGUUGUUAUAUUCCAUUCACAUAUACCCCAAAAAUAUACAUCCAUAUAGACAAUAUACAUCCAUUGUGUUAAUAAUAGAUAGUGAGACAUAUGGAUGCUUUAGCAAUGUCUCCUCUAAAAAAUACAUCUUGUAAUCUACAAAACUUUUAUCACCAACAUCAUGAACCAAUGAGACUUUGGCAGGGCAUAUCUUUAGUGGCUCAGCAUUGCGGCCGCUGUCACUCACACAGGGACAGAGGUAGGGCAACAAUGGCUCUUUAAACUUGUCCCUGAAUGUAUAGAUGAGUGACAUGUCAGUGGGGUCAUAGAAAGUCACCUCUCCCGCAUCAUAGUCCAGACACACUCUGACCCUCCUGGGCCUCCUCUUCAGAGUGAGACGGGUCCAGGGCAUGGUGCAGGCGCUGUACUGGCCGCCGUCCCUCAGCGACAGGGCCCAGAACCCGUGGGCAGGGUUCACACUCAGGACCCCUUUCUCUCUCAGGACCCCCAGGUCCCAUCUGGUCUUACCCGCCAACUCCACCUCUUGUGGUGGAUAUUAUAAAAUAGGGAUUUGGACAUGUCUUCAUGGUUUCUGUUAAUGGACAGAACACAGGUGCAGCUGGUUUGCAGCACAGGAUGAUACUCCCAAGAACGGGAUUAUAAUAGGACAGUUUCACAAGGUUAGUCACAUCCUCAGUUAUGGGGACACAUACAAUUAAAAAUUCCCAUUACAAUCCUCCCUGUAGUUAAUUCCUUAACAAUACAUUUAAAAAAAAAAUGUAAAUGUAGCAAUUAUUCUAUGUAAAUUUCAUCCGUUGUGAAACUGAGUUUAAUACCUUCAACCUUUCACACAUCAUGUUCAGUUCUAACUUGCCCGUUUCUGCUAAGGAUUAGGUCAAACAAAGACAGCAAAGUGCAUCCUUUCUCAGCAAGUAAUUGCUCUCAGAGUGUGUUUGCUUAGGAGAGAAACACCUGGCCACCACAGAGUCUGGAUGUUCAGCCAAUAUUCCACUCCCACUGAGACAACCUUGUGAGAGCAAACCUCUGUCUACAACAAGCGCAUUUCUACGUAUGCUACAGGUCAAACAUUAUGGUCUUCGGCAUUAAAGUGUAGCUCAGCUGAGCACAUAAACCAUGUUUUGGUCCCCCAGGUAAAUAGGGGUAAGCAGUAUGGUCCCCCAGUUAAAUAGGGGUAAGCAGUAAGGUCCCCCAGUUAAAUAGGCGUAAGCAUUAUGGUCCCCCAGUUAAAUAGGGGUAAGCAGUAUGGUCCCCCAGUUAAAUAGGCGUAAGCAGUAUGGUCCCCCAGUUAAAUAAGGGUAAGCAGUAUGGUCCCCCAGUUAAAUAAGGGUAAGCAGUAUGGUCCCCCAGUUAAAACUGCUUACUGCUUACCCUUAUUAACUGGGGGACCAUACCCUUACCCUUAUUUAAAUGGGGGACCAUACUGCCUUAACCCUUAUUAACGGGGGGAAAAUACUGCUUACCCUUAUUUAACGGGGGGACAUAAACUGCCUUA
ensembl:lncRNA